UUUAUAUUAUUUGUAAGUUCAUAUUGAACAACAUUAACAAUCUAACCAUACAAUAAUAUUACUUUUAGAAAGGAAAUUCACUAUCUUCUUUGUCUCAAUCUUUAAAGUAGUAGCUCUAGUGCCAUACGCUGCUGCAGCUAAUGCUGAGAAACAUUUUCAAUCAUUAAUCAAGCACGACGAAUCAUCAACUCUUCUAACUUUACCAAAGCUCACUGGUUGUCGGAAUUCUAUAGGGUACAAAAGUGUGUUCCAUUUUAGAUGUUUUCCCAGCCUCGCAUCAAGAUUUGAUGGGUUUCUGUUACCAUAUAUCCGUUAAUUCUUCACACAGUUCGGCAGCUUGGAUGAUUUCUCUUGGCUGUCCGUAUGAUCUUCUCAAUACCGUUACCAAUACAUUCCUCCAAAUAAGAUUGUCGCGUUUCAGAAAGCUUUUAGUCUUAUCGACAAGGUGCGAUCUUUCCAAUACAUUAUACUUCAUGAUUAUGGUUAUGUGAUUAUUUAUGGAUUCACAGUAUAUAUUAUUAUGGUGUGGUUCAUAAUUUUCAUGAUUAAGUAUAAUGGUGUGGUGUGCUUGUAUCUAUUAGUGUAUGUGUUGUUUUGUAUCAUAUUUUGUCAUUUCUUGAUCAAUUUUGCCUGAUUCGGAGGAGAUUGGGUAUUUGUAAUCAUUUUUAUAUCAUAUGAUUAGUUACAUUUUUGAGUU